ACUGUCGUAGCAUAAAAGAAUGUGUUUGUUUUAAGGUCAGAAGAAUUAAGGGCGGUU
rnacentral:tRNA from 1 species